GGGGCUGAUUAAGGAUUCGACGAAAUUUAUGAAACCCAAAAGUGCAUGCCGAGGUGCGGUGGGCCUCGUAAAAAGCCGCAAAAAUAGUCGCAAACGACAAUCAAUAUACACUGGCAGCUUAAUAACCUGCGCAGCGUCUUCUAUUACUCUAGCCUCCUCUCUUAGGAAGGGGAUAAAAGAAGUCAAAUUUAAAAAAGAGAUCGCGUGAUUACCUAAGUCUGAGGUAUCCGUUAAAAUAAUAAGACUAAAUCUAAUUAGUAAGUGUUUCUGUUCAUAAUUAAUUAGUUAAUAAACAUAAAACAGAAUAAGCAUGUAGUACUUAGGAUGUAAAAAUUUUGGACGCGGGUUCAACUCCCGCCAGCUCCACCA
rnacentral:tmRNA from 1 species